rnacentral:misc_RNA from 1 species
GCAAUGGGUACCAAUUCUAACUUUCUACAAAUGUGCUUAUUUCUUAACAAAUCCAUCCUUGUAUUUCUACACAUCUACCUUAGCAUCCUCAUCGCAUCUAUGAUGGAUUUUUUAAAAUGUUUGCUAACAAUCCAACAGUUGCAGCCACAUAUCAUUUGACCGAAUUAUGGUCUUAUAGAACUUUCUCUUCAACUAAGGGAUUUAAAAUCAUAUAAAUUGUAUUUUACUUCUCCUUUUACACAUCCUACUUUAACCCUAAAUUGACAUCCUUCUUGCUUUCACCAUCUCUUUAUAUGAUAGAAUAGAGGUAUUGAAUGUGUGGGCUUCAU